rnacentral:rRNA from 1 species
GACGAACGCUGGCGGCGUGCUUAACACAUGCAAGUCGAACGGAAAGGCCCCUUUGGGGGUACUCGAGUGGCGAACGGGUGAGUAACACGUGCGUAACCUGCCCUUGACUUCGGGAUAACUUCAGGAAACUGGGGCUAAUACCGGAUAGGAAUCCUUGCUGCAUGGUGGGGGUUGGAAAGCUUCGGCGGUUUUGGAUGGACUCGCGGCUUAUCAGCUUGUUGGUGGGGUAGUGGCUUACCAAGGCUUUGACGGGUAGCCGGCCUGAGAGGGCGACCGGCCACAGUGGGACUGAGAUACGGCCCAGACUCCUACGGGAGGCAGCAGUGGGGAAUAUUGCAAAAUGGGCGGAAGCCUGAUGCAGCAACGCCGCGUGCGGGAUGACGGCCUUCGGGUUGUAAACCGCUUUCAGCAGGGGCGAAGCUUGUGGUGACGGUACCUGCAGAAGAAGCACCGGCUAACUACGUG